rnacentral:lncRNA from 1 species
CGGAAGUCAAAUAAGCAAGAAACUACACAGCCCUAUAAUCCGGUGUCACGAGUCUAGAGCCUCUAGUACAUGCCUGAAUACCUACUACAUCACAAGUCUAGAAAAUGCGGAAAAAUAAAAAGAUAUGGAGGAGAAAACAAGGCUGCAGACGCCAUGCAGCUACAUGGAAAUCUCUGUCAACAUAUUGGAUCAGCUGAAGACCCUCACUCGGCCGCUCGGGCACCUGGAUCUGCACACAAGGUGCAAGGAGUAACGUGAGUACGCCAACUCAGUAAGUAACUAAAGUAAAUAAGGACUGAAAGCAGUGAUGAGCAGUUCAAAAAGCAUAUAACUGAAUAAUCAACAGAAUAACGGAUCAAUUUUACAAUUUAAAAGAGUUUCAUCAUAAAAUCAACCUUUCUAGUUUAAUACAUUUGAAAUCAGAUACUUAGAAAUAUAUCCAACAGAGGCAUAUUUAAAAGAAGAGUGAAAUCAGUGAAAAUAUCAUAACUGGGCCCCUCGGGCAAGGAAUCACUCAGAAUAUGACCUCUCGGACAGCCUCUCAGUCACUCGUGACUCAACUCUUGUCACUCAGUCUCUUAAUAUCUCUUAAUAAUAGAAAUCAUAAUAACCACUGCAGCGUGAAGCCCGAUCUAUAAUUUAUAGUCAACUAUGCUCACUGGGGGUGUGCAGACUCCGGAAGGGCUCCUACAGCCCAAACGUCAUAUCGCUAUGACGCGCAGCCCGAUCCAAUAUAUAUAUCGUUGCGGCGUGCAGCCCGAUCCAUAUAAGUAUAGAUGCGACAUGCAGCCCGAUCCAUAAAUCACAUAUAUAAAUAUCCUCAUAGUUAAAUUCUCAACCUCUCUCAUUCAUUAACCUCACAGCCUCUCGGACACAAUAGUGGAAAUUAGGGAACUCAGCCCAAAUAAUCCUCUCAUCUAGAAGUGGAAAGAAAAAACUAGUUUUAAACAUUUAAACAGGUAAAACAUGACUGGCUUUUAGCAAGUAACGUGAGGAAAACAUUCAAAAUGCCCCGAAGGGUUUCUAUAGGUCGGCACAAGGCCCCAAACAUGGCAUACAACCCAUAAUACAGUAUAAAUAUCCAAAAUACAGAAUAACCUAAUAUUUCCAAAUCAAAUACGCGGCUUAUUAGUCACUACAGGACGGACCAAGUCACAACCCCUUCCGGUGCACGCCCAUACGCUCGUCACCUAGCAUGUGCGUCACUGCAUUUAUCAAAACAAGUCAAAUAUCGAGGUUUUGUACCCUCAAUUCCAGAUUUACAUUGGUUACUUAUCUCAAAUACUCCGUGACACUUUUUCCCCUUGAAUCGGCCUCCACUCGCGUCGAAUCUAUCCAAAAUCAGAAUCACGGCAUCAAAAUAUGCUAAGGGAACGAAGCCCAAGCGAAAAUAAUCAAAUAAUACCAAAAAUCUCAAAAUUAGCUAAACCCGACUCCCGGGCCCACGUCUCGAAACUCGAUAAAAAUCACAUCACCGGAAUCCUUAUCCUCCUACGAGUAUCAAGAACACUGAAAUCGGAGUCCAAAUGACCCCUCAAAUCCUCAUUUAAAAUCUCUUAAUCUCAAGCCCUAAUUUCUCAAUUUUAGGCUUAGAUUCCAUGAUUUAUUAGGUAGAUUUCACAAUAGAAUCGAGUUUUAAGUCCAAAAUUCUUACCUCCAAACGUUUCCCCUUGAAUCCCUCUUCAAUCUCCUUCAAAAAAGCUCCAAAAAUGACCAACUACGGAGGAAAUAAACCCCACAUUCGUGGAAAAGACGACCUUUAAAACUUUCUGCCCAGGCCUGAAAAUCCUUCUUCGCGAAGGCAGUCAAAGCCUCGCGUUCGCGAAGCACAACUUAACUUUGACCAAUUUUUCCUCUUACGCGAUCGCGACCAAGCCCUCGCGAAUGCGAUGCUUUACCCAGAUGAACCUUUGCGAAUGUGUUUCGUCCAUCGCGAACGCGAUGAAUUAAUUCCACUCUCAAUUCUUUCUAUGCGAACGCGACACCUAUCCUGCGAACGCGAUGCGUCAAUCCUUAGCCCUUCGAGAAUGCGGAGCUCCCAUCGCGAAUGUGAAGGCUUAAUCUUAGCCUUUCUCAACCGACUCUUCGCGAACGCGAGGGUCCACUCGCGAACGGGAAGAGUAAAAAUGCCUGCAACAGCUGAACAGAAUUCUGCAACUUUUCCUUAACUCAAAAUGGUCCGAUCAACCCUCUGAAACUCACCCGAGGCCCCCAGGACCUUAACCAAUGGCCCCAACAUAUCCCAAAACCUUAUUCAAACGUGUUCCAAUCUUCAAAACUCCUCAAACAACUUCAAAUCAACUAAAACACAUCGGAUUCAAAUCUAAGUUUCUAAAAAUCUUUUGGAUUCCGUUUUUGAUAAAAAAAACCCAACCAAACCACGUCCGAAUGACCUGAAUUUUUGCACACAUAUCUCAAAUGACACAACGGAACUACAUCAACUCUCGGAAUUCCAUUUCGACCCAUGGAUCAAAAUCUCACCUACCAACCAGAAAUCGCCAAAAAUCCAUUUUCGCCAAUUCAAGCCUAAAUCUACUCCGAACCUCCGAAACUCAUUCCGAUCACGCUUCUAAGUCCCAAAUAACCUCCCGAAGCAAACCGAACCAUCGUAACUCACAUCCGAUCCCUCUAACGCAUAAGUCAACAUCCGAUUGACUUUUUCAACUUAACGUUCCUUAAAAGAGACUAAAUGUCUUAAAGCUUACCAAAUCAUUUCUGAACCCUAACCAAUUAACCUGAUCACAUAUAGAACCAUUAUACAAAGUUUCACACCUCCUUUUUACCUACACCUCCGGAGAGGUAUAAAAGAGAGUUUUUUCCAAUUUAAGUGACAAUCGAAACGAGAUUAUUUUUAUUCAAAUUCAGAGUCGCCACUUGGGAUAAUUUAUGGUAUCCCAAGUCACCGGUUUAAAUCCCGAAUAGAGGAAAAGAUUGACUCUGUAUUACAGUUCGCGAACCAGAAAUCCGGGUAAGGAAUUCUAUUAACCCGGGAGAAGGUGUUAGACACUCCCGAGUUCCGUGGUUCUAGCACAGUCGCUCAACUGUUAUAUUUGGCUUAAUUAUCCGAUUUUAAACAAUUAUGACCCUAUGUGCAAAUUUUAGUUUUUAACCGCUUUUAUUCAUUUUUAGAAAGAUUGCAGCGUUACUAAAACACGUCUUGAACCACGUCACAUAAAUGCACCCGGGGUCUUUGACAUAUUUUAAUAUUGUUGAGAUUUGGAUUUGGGUCACAUAAAUGUGCACCCGAGUUUAGGUAGGUAAUAUUAUUAAAAUAACGCGCCUAAAGCAACUACGCAUUUUCAAAUUUGCGAGGGCCAUAGAAAUUCAACUAAAUGGCAUGCCUCGAUUUCUAAGGAUUAAAAUUAAUUGAGUGAGGGCCAUGGGUUUCGGGAUUUUAUUUGGCAUGGCACGCCUCGAAUUAUUCCAAAGGGUUUUAUUAUUCGAAGUUGUUAUAAUCGGGUUACAUGAAAUGCACCCCCGACUUUGGGAAUUAGGUAUCAUGACUAUCCUACGAGAACUAUACCCAUAAUCACGAUGGUUUAUUAUAAAACGCGCCUAAAUAAGUUACGGUGUUCAUAGUUACGGUGUUCAUGAAUUUUGGGGUAUACAAUAUAUAUGGUCAAGAAAAGCAUGCUAUCGAAGCUUAUAGCAAUUGUAGUUAUAACUAGCUGGGGUGACCACCCCCAAAAUGGCAUCUAAUAUAGCAAUGAACUGCAUGGUAACAUACAUUUGAUAAGAACGCUAUUUUUAACUUACAGACAAAAACGUCAAAUUGCAAGCUAAUUCUCAAUACAACAAAACUAAGCAAAUUGCCUCUUCUGACUUUCAAAUAACAAUAUAUACUAUCCCAAACUCUAACUCUCAAUCAAACAAAUUUCAAUAAGUCAUAAAGGAGAGAUAUAAAAAUAAAAUACCUCUAGCAAAUCAAAUUUAUUCUUAGGACCGUGGUGACCUCGACGACUCGAACGGUAACAGAAACUUGGACUGAUUGAGAUCACACUUCUUUUAGCCUGUGGAGAAGUCUGGCAUACUUUCAACGUUCUUCUCUUAAGAACUAACCAGCAAGCCUUACAUAAAGAGAUCUAAUGCUCCUAUCAAAAAAUAUAAAGUCAGGUAUGGAUAUCAUUCCAUUAGAACUAAGGCACGAAAUGAAGAUGGCUGCUAGGGGUCAAUGAUUUUUGGUGGGUUUCGUCAGUUGGUGUAUAAUGGAGAAGGGGAUAACGACUGAAACUUCUCUUAUCGAUUUUGGUCAGCUCCCUGUUUCGUUUUUAGCCUUGGAGUUUAUGUCCAAGAUGGG